rnacentral:rRNA from 1 species
AUUGAACGCUGGCGGAAUGCUUUACACAUGCAAGUCGAACGGCAGCACGGACUUCGGUCUGGUGGCGAGUGGCGAGCGGGUGAGUAAUGUAUCGGAACGUGCCCAGUCGUGGGGGAUAACGUAGUGAAAAUUACGCUAAUACCACAUACGAUCUAUGGAUGAAAGCGGGGGAUCGCAAGACCUCGCGCGAUUGGAGCGGCCGAUAUCAGAUUAGGCAGUUGGUGGGGUAAAGGCCCACCAAGCCAACGAUCUGUAGCUGGUCUGAGAGGACGACCAGCCACACUGGAACUGAGACACGGUCCAGACUCCUACGGGAGGCAGCAGUGGGGAAUUUUGGACAAUGGGCGAAAGCCUGAUCCAGCCAUUCCGCGUGCAGGAUGAAGGCCCUCGGGUUGUAAACUGCUUUUGUACAGAACGAAAAGGUUUCUACUAAUACUAGGAGCUCAUGACGGUACUGUAAGAAUAAGCACCGGCUAACUACGUGCCAGCAGCCGCAGUAA